rnacentral:rRNA from 1 species
AGAACGAACGCUGGCGGCAGGCUUAACACAUGCAAGUCGAACGCGUGUAGCAAUACACGAGUGGCGCACGGGUGAGUAACGCGUGGAUAUCUGCCUUUUGGUUCGGAAUAACCCCGGGAAACUGGGGCUAAAUACCGGAUGGUUCCUACGGGAUAAAGAUUUAUCGCCAAAAGAUGAGUCCGCGUCCGAUUAGCUAGUUGGUGGGGUAAUGGCCUACCAAGGCGACGAUCGGUAGCUGGUCUGAGAGGACGAUCAGCCACACUGGGACUGAGACACGGCCCAGACUCCUACGGGAGGCAGCAGUGGGGAAUAUUGGACAAUGGGGGCAACCCUGAUCCAGCCAUGCCGCGUGAGUGAUGAAGGCCUUCGGGUUGUAAAGCUCUUUUGGCGGGGUACGAUGAUGACGGUACCCGCAGAAUAAGCCCGGCUAACUUCGUGCCAGCAGCCGC